AUGUAAUGUAAUUCCUAAAACAUUAAUGCAUCAUAUCCCAUUAGAAAUCUGUAGUUAUGCACGCUUGGGAUAGAGUAGUACUGGGAUGGGUGAAAUCCUGGGAAUUCAUAGUUUUCUACAUU
rnacentral:rRNA from 1 species